rnacentral:rRNA from 1 species
ACUGCUCAGUAACACGUGGACAACCUGCCCUUAGGUUGGGUAUAAACCCGGGAAACUGGGUAUAAUACCCGAUAGGUCUCGAUUGCUGGAAUGCAUCGAGAUUUAAAGCUCCGGCGCCUAAGGAUGGGUCUGCGGCCUAUCAGGUAGUAGUGGGUGUAGCGUACCUACUAGCCUACGACGGGUACGGGUUGUGAGAGCAAGAGCCCGGAGAUGGAUUCUGAGACACGAAUCCAGGCCCUACGGGGUGCAGCAGGCGCGAAAACUUUACAAUGCUGGCAACAGCGAUAAGGGAACCUCGAGUGCCAGGUUACAAAUCUGGCUGUCGAGAUGCCUAAAAAGCAUUUCAUAGCAAGGGCCGGGCAAGACCGGUGCCAGCCGCCGCGGUAACACCGGCGGCUCGAGUGGUAACCGUUAUUAUUGAGUCUAAAGGGUCUGUAGCCGGCCGGAUAAGUCUCUUGAGAAAUCUGGCAGCUUAACUGUCAGGCUUUCAGGAGAUACUGUCUGGCUCGAGGCCGGGAGAGGUGAGAGGUACUUCAGGGGUAGGGGUGAAAUCUUGUAAUCCUUGAAGGACCACCAGUGGCGAAGGCGUCUCACCAGAACGGACCUGACGGCAAGGGACGAAAGCUAGGGGCACGAACCGGAUUAGAUACCCGGGUAGCCCUAGCCGUAAACGAUACUCGCUAGGUGUCGGCCACGGUGCGACCGUUGUCGGUGCCGUAGGGAAGCCGUGAAGCGAGCCACCUGGGAAGUACGGCCGCAAGGCUGAAACUUAAAGGAAUUGGCGGGGGAGCAC